UACAGAGGGGGCAAGCGUUGUUCGGAAUUACUGGGCGUAAAGGGCGCGUAGGCGGCCUUCUAAGUCGAACGUGAAAUCCCCGGGCUCAACCCGGGAACUGCGUCCGAGACUGGAAGGCUUGAAUCCGGGAGAGGGAUGUGGAAUUCCAGGUGUAGCGGUGAAAUGCGUAGAUAUCUGGAGGAACAUCGGUGGCGAAGGCGGCAUCCUGGACCGGUAUUGACGCUGAGGCGCGAAAGCCAGGGGAGCAAAGCGGG
rnacentral:rRNA from 1 species